AAACGACAUCGAAAGCUUGCUUUUGAUGGGUGUCGACCGGCGCACGGGUGAGUAACGCGUAUCCAACCUGCCCACCACUUGGGGAUAACCUUGCGAAAGUAAGACUAAUACCCAAUGAUAUCUCUAGAAGACAUCUGAAAGAGAUUAAAGAUUUAUCGGUGAUGGAUGGGGAUGCGUCUGAUUAGCUUGUUGGCGGGGUAACGGCCCACCAAGGCAACGAUCAGUAGGGGUUCUGAGAGAAAGGCCCCCACAAUGGGACUGAGACACGGCCCAUACUCC
rnacentral:rRNA from 1 species